rnacentral:tRNA from 1 species
GUAGAUAUAGUUUAAACAAAACACUAGAUUGUGAAUCUAGAGAUAGAGACUAACAACCUCUUAUCUACC